UGAGACAACCCGGGCUCACCUAUUAGACAUAAUAUUAAAUGGACACUUGACUUUCAAUGAAGAUGUCACAGUAACUCAGUGGAAAAAAGAUAGUCUUUUCAACAAAUGGUGCUGAAAUCACUGAACAACCAUGCAUAAAACAGUGAGGAAACUUAGUUCCCGGACCAGAGAUGGAACCCAUUCCCCCUGCAGUGGAAGCAUGAAAUCCUAGCUAUUGGACCACCAGGGAAGCCCUGAGAAAAGCAGUUCUUAUCUCACCUCGAGCUAUUUGCCAGUCACUGUUACAACAGUUGGCUGGGAGUUGGCCAGGAUGGGCCUCGCUGGCUUACUCCAAGCUGUACUCCAGAUCUACUCCACGGGUUUCUCAUCUUCCUUGGAUGAGGAGGCGACCAGAACCACGUUUUUCCCAUGCCAACAACAAAAAGAACAGUUGGAAACACAGUGCAUCUUAACAUAUAAGCUUCAAACAAAGACUCUGCCUCUUCUGCCCACAUUUCAACGGGCAAAGCAAAUCACACAACCAAGUCUAAUACUAACCAAGUUUUCAAGUACAGGGAAAUAUACUCUGUCUCUAGCAGGAAGAACCACAAUGUCACAUGGGAAAGGAUGUGGAUACAUGGGAAGGAAAAGGGGAACAACAAUGCCAUCCACUUUAUAGGCCAAUUUGUAAAUAUUAAUAUCUCUUUUCAGUUGGUAUCUUUCAUUUAUCUUCUUUUAUGUGAUUUUUUCACAAAGAAAGUUUUUAUAUUAAGAUAAUUAAAUAUUUUACCUUAUUGCUUAUGUUUUGGGGGUCCUACUUAAGAAAUUAUUUCCUACCCUAAGAUCAUAAUAAACAUGCUCCUAUAUUUCCCACUAGAAGAAUGCAAUUAAGAGCAUCAACAAUCAAUAUAUUAUUUUAGAUUAGUAUGUGCAUAAAUACAAGAUUAUAUGAUAUAAACUAAGGCACCAAAGUAAAACAAGUAUUUAAAGUUAAAGAUAAUUACCAAGGAUGACUAACUACUAUAGGUAAAAAUUUUAGCUUGGUCUUUUAAAAAUAUUAAUGGAUAUAGGCUGACAAAGAUGAAAAAUACGCAAGAAUGAAAAGGAAUCACAAAACUUUAUAUUUUUUCAUUAACAUAUGUUUAUUGAUCUAAGCUACAUCUUUAAAACUGCUAAGCACAAGACCACAGGAAAAUAUACAUAGCCUUCUCAGGUCAUGACAUCUUAGAAAAAGAAAAAAGAAACUUUUAUAGAACUUAGCUAUUUACAAAACAAUAUAUGUUAUGAUAUCAAAUAUAUAAAAUACAUGUAUAGAUGUGCUAAUAGUAGCAACUACUUCGGUAGUUUGGGGUGAAAAAGAGGUCCUAUGUAUUAAUUUUCAAACUAAAAGUACUUCCCUACUACCACACUGGCAGGGAGUCCAGUAUCUCUCCUGUUCCUUAAACUGUUCGGGAACUCUGGGAGCCUCUGGAUCCACACACCUCAGAAAGAGGAGACCAGAGAACUGUAUUAGAUACAAGAGGGCCCUGUUGCGGCCGCUGGUGUUCUGCUCCUGGCACAGUUUCCUGAUGAAAACAGAUCCCCUGCGGCUCCAUGUGACCUUUCCGCCUGGUGUGCUCUUGCCUUUGCUGCUGCAAAUACAGCGGUCACAGUGAUUCUUAAAGAGAGAAGAGCCCGCGCCCUUAGAGGCAGCGCGUGCAGCCACGCCCAGAACGUUUCGGUUCACCACGCACCAAGUGGCUGCAUCAGGAGGGCCUUCUGCGUCCAGACACACAAGUGCCCAAACAGCAUCUCCCACUGGGCAAUGCAGACCACAACAGGAGUCCUAGUCUAAGAUCUUUGAUGUUCUUUCUUACUCAGUCCUUUUUUAAUCAUGACCAGUUCAAUGCACAAAACACUUUCUAAUAGCAACUACAGGGAAGGAGUCCAGGUCUUGGCUCUGUUCCUCUCUAAAGGCUCCCAGACUCUUUAUAAAUUUCCUCCAGUCCUCUCGGUACUGACCAGCCCUGCAGGUGAAGGACGACUGGGAAGGGCAACCUCUACAAAACCAGAAAAAAACCCUGUUACACCAGUACCUGAGGCACAAAAGACCUCACUAACUGUUUCAAACACUGGGGGGAAAUUUCUCUGACCUU